rnacentral:rRNA from 1 species
UACGGGGGGGGCAAGCGUUGUUCGGAAUUACUGGGCGUAAAGGGCGCGUAGGCGGUGCUCUAAGUCGGAUGUGAAAACUCUGGGCUCAACCCAGAGCCUGCAUCCGAAACUGGAGUGCUAGAGUUCUGGAGGGGGUAGCGGAAUUCCUGGUGUAGCGGUGAAAUGCGUAGAUAUCAGGAGGAACACCGGUGGCGAAGGCGGCUACCUGGACAGAAACUGACGCUGAGGCGCGAAAGCCAGGGGAGCGAACGGG